rnacentral:rRNA from 1 species
UACGGAAGGCAGCAGUGGGGAAUAUUGCACAAUGGGCGCAAGCCUGAUGCAGCCAUGCCGCGUGUAUGAAGAAGGCCUUCGGGUUGUAAAGUACUUUCAGCGGGGAGGAAGGCGAUGCGGUUAAUAACCGCGUCGAUUGACGUUACCCGCAGAAGAAGCACCGGCUAACUCCGUGCCAGCAGCCGCGGUAAUACGGAGGGUGCAAGCGUUAAUCGGAAUUACUGGGCGUAAAGCGCACGCAGGCGGUCUGUUAAGUCAGAUGUGAAAUCCCCGGGCUUAACCUGGGAACUGCAUUUUGAAACUGGCAGGCUUGAGUCUUGUAGAGGGGGUAGAAUUCCAGGUGUAGCGGUGAAAUGCGUAGAGAUCUGGAGGAAUACCGGUGGCGAAGGCGGCCCCUGGGACAAGACUGACGCUCAGGU